rnacentral:rRNA from 1 species
CUACGGUGGCUGCAGUGGGGAAUAUUGGACAAUGGGCGAAAGCCUGAUCCAGCCAUGCCGCGUGUGUGAAGAAGGCCUUCGGGUUGUAAAGCACUUUCAGUGGGGAAGAAAGCCUUGGGGCUAAUACCCUCGAGGAAGGACAUCACCCACAGAAGAAGCACCGGCUAACUCCGUGCCAGCAGCCGCGGUAAUACGGAGGGUGCGAGCGUUAAUCGGAAUUACUGGGCGUAAAGCGCGCGUAGGCGGUCUGAUAAGCCGGUUGUGAAAGCCCCGGGCUCAACCUGGGAACGGCAUCCGGAACUGUCAGGCUAGAGUGCAGGAGAGGAAGGUAGAAUUCCCGGUGUAGCGGUGAAAUGCGUAGAGAUCGGGAGGAAUACCAGUGGCGAAGGCGGCCUUCUGGACUGACACUGACGCUGAGGUGCGAAAGCGUGGGUAGCAAACAGGAUUAGAUACCCCAGUAGUC